rnacentral:rRNA from 1 species
CACGUAGGGGGCAAGCGUUGUCCGGAUUUAUUGGGCGUAAAGAGCUCGUAGGUGGUUCGGUAAGUCGGGUGUUAAACCCCCAGGCUCAACCUGGGGACGCCACUCGAUACCGCUGUGACUAGAGUCCGGUAGGGGAGCGUGGAAUUCCUGGUGUAGCGGUGAAAUGCGUAGAUAUCUGGAGGAAUACCGGUGGCGAAGGCGGCAUCCUGGACCAUUACUGACGCUGAGGCGCGAAAGCUAGGGGAGCAAACGGG